rnacentral:lncRNA from 12 species
CCUUCACAAAGAGGAAGCCCAUGAAUGGCCUUUGGUGACCUGAGAAGUGUCAGCCUGCCUUCUUCACGGAGCUCGAGAAUUAGCACGUGCUGAAGGCCAGCAAGCCGAAUCAAAGAAAUUGUCCACUUGGAAGGCACAGGUGCAUUUUCCCAAGGAGGCGUGGUACAGAAUGGUUCCAUCCCUAUGGAGAGAGAAGGGUCAAGAAGAUGGAACAUGACAUCCAGAAGCAGGUGGCUAGAGGAGCUCUACAAGGCACCAUCCAGGAAAGGAACAAGGCAAAGAUUGAGGAAAAAGCUACUUAGCACACCUCCUGCUUCAAGAGAGAGAACGCCUGACGCUCCAACAUAUCCGGUGCCAACCAACAGGCAGCGUUGGCCACCGGCUCCGACGCAUCAAUCCCCUCUCCUCACAAUCGCUCAAAGAAAAGCUUGUCUUCUGCACGGUACAUUAGGCAACUGCAGAAGAAGAUACGAGAAGCUUUGAAAUGCAUUUCCCAAACCGUUCCACAUGAUGUUCCUGGAUGUUUGGUUAAUAAAAUAUUCCAUGGUCAAAUAA